rnacentral:rRNA from 1 species
ACGAACGCUGGCGGCGUGCCUAAUACAUGCAAGUUGAGCGCUGAAGGUUGGUACUUGUACCAACUGGAUGAGCAGCGAACGGGUGAGUAACGCGUGGGGAAUCUGCCUUUGAGCGGGGGACAACAUUUGGAAACGAAUGCUAAUACCGCAUAAAAACUUUAAACACAAGUUUUAAGUUUGAAAGAUGCAAUCGCAUCACUCAAAGAUGAUCCCGCGUUGUAUUAGCUAGUUGGUGAGGUAAAGGCUCACCAAGGCGAUGAUACAUAGCCGACCUGAGAGGGUGGACGGCCACAUUGGGACUUGGACACGGCCCCAACUCCUACGGGAGGCAGCAGUAGGGAAUCUUCGGCAAUGGACGAAAGUCUGACCGAGCAACGCCGCGUGAGUGGAGAAGGUUUUCGGAUCGUAAAACUCUGUUGGUAGAGAAGAACGUUGGUGAGAGUGGAAAGCUCAUCAAGUGACGGUAACUACCCAGAAAGGGACGGCUAACUACGUG